rnacentral:rRNA from 1 species
CAUGUAGGCGGUCUGUCAAGUCUGAUGUGAAAGCCCGGGGCUCAACCCCGGAAGUGCAUUGGAAACUGGCAGACUUGAGUACGGGAGAGGAAAGUGGAAUUUCGAGUGUAGGGGUGAAAUCCGUAGAUAUUCGAAGGAACACCAGUGGCGAAGGCGGCUUUCUGGACCGAUACUGACGCUGAGAUGCGGAAGCGUGGGGAGCAAACAGGAUUAGAUACCCUGGUAGUCC